rnacentral:rRNA from 1 species
UUCCGGUUGAUCCUGCCAGAGGUCACUGCUAUCGGUGUCCGAUUAAGCCAUGCGAGUCGAGAGGUGUAAGACCUCGGCAGACUGCUCAGUAACACGUGGAUAACCUGCCCAAGGGUCCGGGAUAACCCCGGGAAACUGGGGAUAAUACCGGAUGGGUCACCAGUGCUGGAAUGCUUGGUGGUCGAAAGGUGACGCCUUUGGAUGGGUCUGCGGCGGAUUAGGUUGACGCCGGUGUAACGUACCGGCGUGCCUGUAAUCCGUACGGGUUGUGGGAGCAAGAGCCCGGAGAUGGAUUCUGAGACACGAAUCCAGGCCCUACGGGGCGCAGCAGGCGCGAAAACUCUACAAUGCAGGCAACUGCGAUAGAGGGACAUCGAGUGGCAUCCACCUUGGGUGUCUGUCCAACCGUCUAAAAAACGGUUGUUAGCAAGGGCCGGGCAAGACCGGUGCCAGCCGCCGCGGUAAUACCGGCGGCUCGAGUGGUGGCCGAUAUUAUUGAGUCUAAAGGGUCCGUAGCCGGCUUUGCAAGUCCCCUGGGAAAUCCGGCGGCUUAACCGUUGGGCUUUCAUGGGAUACUACAUUGCUUGGGACUGGGAGAGGUAGGAGGUACUCGGGGGGUAGGGGUGAAAUCCUGUAAUCCUCCGGGGACCACCGGUGGCGAAGGCGUCCUACCAGAACAGGUCCGACGGUGAGGGACGAAAGCUAGGGGCACGAACCGGAUUAGAUACCCGGGUAGUCCUAGCCGUAAACGAUGCCCGCUAGGUGUCACGACGGUCGUGAAUCGUCGUGGUGCCGUAGGGAAGCCGCGAAGCGGGCCACUUGGGAAGUACGGCCGCAAGGCUGAAACUUAAAGGAAUUGGCGGGA